rnacentral:rRNA from 1 species
AUUGAACGCUGGCGGCAUGCUUUACACAUGCAAGUCGAGCGGCAGCGCGGGGGCAACCCUGGCGGCGAGCGGCGAACGGGUGAGGAAUACAUCGGAACGUACCCCGGAGUGGGGGAUAACGCCGCGAAAGCGGCGCUAAUACCGCAUAUGCUCUGAGGAGGAAAGUGGGGGACCUGCAAGGGCCUCACGCUCUGGGAGCGGCCGAUGUCCGAUUAGCUAGUUGGUGGGGUAAAGGCCCCACCAAGGCGACGAUCGGUAGCUGGUCUGAGAGGAUGAUCAGCCACACUGGGACUGAGACACGGCCCAGACUCCUACGGGAGGCAGCAGUGGGGAAUUUUGGACAAUGGGGGCAACCCUGAUCCAGCCAUGCCGCGUGCGGGAAG